rnacentral:rRNA from 1 species
GCUAUCUGCAGUCGAGGGGCAGCGCAGGUAGCAAUACUGGGCGGCGACCGGCAAACGGGUGCGGAACACGUACGUAACCUUCCUUUAAGUGGGAGAUAGCCCGAAGAAAUUCGGAUUAAUACCCCAUAAGAUUGUAGAGUGGCAUCACUAAGCAAUUAAAGAAUUUCGCUUAAAGAUGGGCGUGCGGCUGAUUAGGUAGUUGGUGAGGUAACGGCUCACCAAGCCAACGAUCAGUAACUGGCGUGAGAGCGCGACCAGUCACACGGGCACUGAGACACGGGCCCGACUCCUACGGGAGGCAGCAGUAAGGAAUAUUGGUCAAUGGACGCAAGUCUGAACCAGCCAUGCCGCGUGAAGGAUGAAGGUCCUCUGGAUUGUAAACUUCUUUUAUAUGGGAAGAAACCACUUUUUUCUAAGGGUGUUGACGGUACCAUAGGAAUAAGCACCGGCUAACUCCGUGCCAGCAGCCGCGGUAAUACGGAGGGUGCAAGCGUUAUCCGGAUUCACUGGGUUUAAAGGGUGCGUAGGCGGAUUAGUAAGUCCGUGGUGAAAUCUCCGAGCUUAACUCGGAAACUGCCGUGGAUACUAUUAAUCUUGAAUGUUGUGGAGGUUAGCGGAAUAUGUCAUGUAGCGGUGAAAUGCAUAGAUAUGACAUAGAACACCAAUUGCGAAGGCAGCUGGCUACACAAAUAUUGACGCUGAUGCACGAAAGCGUGGGGAUCAAACAGGAUUAGAUACCCUGGUAGUCCACGCCCUAAACGAUGAUUACUCGACAUUUGCGAUAUACAGUAAGUGUCUGAGCGAAAGCAUUAAGUAAUCCACCUGGGAAGUACGACCGCAAGGUUGAAACU